UACGUAGGCAGCAAGCGUUGUUCGGAGUUACUGGGCGUAAAGGGCGCGCAGGCGGCCCUCCAAGUCAGGCGUGAAAGCCCCGGGCUCAACCCGGGAACAGCGCUUGAGACUGGGGGGCUUGAGUUCGGGAGAGGAGAGUGGAAUUCCCAGUGUAGAGGUGAAAUUCGUAGAUAUUGGGAAGAACACCGGUGGCGAAGGCGGCUCUCUGGACCGACACUGACGCUGAGGCGCGAAAGCGUGGGGAGCAAACAGG
rnacentral:rRNA from 1 species